AUAUUGUAAUUUUAGAACGAGAUUCAAGUAUUUUAGACUCCGAUUGGAGCAAAGAAGCUUAUGGCUUUACAAAAAUAUUUUUUUUUUUUAUCUGUACGCAACUUUUCUACCAGAAAACUUGAUUGGAUUUCUACAUGUAGUACCUUUCCUGAAAGGAAAUCGGUGUGGGAAGGUAAUUUAAAUAGGAUAUUUUUCGAUUUUCCCAACAAAUGUGAUAAACCGGUUUAAAACAUGGGAGAACCAGGAAAAACGUAGGAAACUU